rnacentral:ncRNA from 1 species
UCGCCCACAAUGCCCUCAACGGUUUCAACACGGAUGUGGCUGUGUGCGUGGUGUGAGCGGAUACAAUGCACUUGCCGGUCGGCGCUUGCCGAAGCCCUGUGAAGGGGCAUCCCUGCUGGGGCCGUAAUCGACGCAGGGUCGUCGGCGUAACCGUCCCAUCAUUGGUCUCCUCGCGCUAACCCCGUAGCGUGUGGUUUUUAGCGGGCUCCAGGCCCGCUUUUUUU